GGAUCAUGGCUCAGUGGUAGAGCACUUGCCUAGCAUGUGUGAGGCCCUGGGUUCAAUCCUCAGUACCA
rnacentral:tRNA from 1 species